AACGCACCUUGCACUCUGUUCUGCAGAGUAUGCCUGUUUGAGAAUCUAUAGUAUUUUUCAACGGUUGUUGAAGAUUUGGGCAUUGUUUAUUUAAACUGGCCUUGAAUUAAAUUCUUGAGGUUGUUUGUAUGACGACGUAUUGAAUUAGAGAGAUGAAGGGUUCGCCCAGCUUCCUUUAAUUUCUGUACUAGUACAGCAACUAGAAAGCUCAUUCUUUAUAAAUUCUUGGUCUCAAAUCAGGUAGGAAGACCCGCUGAACUUAA
rnacentral:misc_RNA from 1 species